UACGGGGGGGGCAAGCGUUGUUCGGAAUUACUGGGCGUAAAGGGCUCGUAGGCGGCCAACUAAGUCGGAUGUGAAAUCCCCAGGCUCAACCUGGGAACUGCAUCCGAUACUGGAUGGCUUGAAUCCGGGAGAGGGAUGCAGAAUUCCAGGUGUAGCGGUGAAAUGCGUAGAUAUCUGGAGGAACACCAAUUGCGAAGGCAGCUCGCUGGGACGUGACUGACGCUGAGACGCGAAAGCGUGGGGAGCGAACAGG
rnacentral:rRNA from 1 species